rnacentral:rRNA from 1 species
CCUACGGGUGGCAGCAGUGGGGGAUAUUGCACAAUGGGGGAAACCCUGAUGCAGCGACGCCGCGUGGGCGAAGAAGUAUUUCGGUAUGUAAAGCCCUAUCAGCAGGGAAGAAGAAAUGACGGUACCUGAGUAAGAAGCACCGGCUAAAUACGUGCCAGCAGCCGCGGUAAUACGUAUGGUGCAAGCGUUAUCCGGAUUUACGGGGUGAAAAGGGAGCGCAGGCGGCAGGGCAAGCCUGGUGUGAUAGCCCGUGGCCGAACCGGGGAACUGCAUUGGGAACUGUCGUGCUGGAGUGCAGGAGAGGUAGGCGGAAUUCCUAGUGUAGCGGUGAAAUGCGUAGAUAUUAGGAGGAACACCAGUGGCGAAGGCGGCCUACUGGACUGUGACUGACGCUGAGGCUCGAAAGCGUGGGGAGCAAACAGGAUUAGAUACCCCGGUAGUC